rnacentral:rRNA from 1 species
AUUGAACGCUGGCGGCAGGCCUAACACAUGCAAGUCGGACGAGCGGCGGACGGGUGAGUAAUGUCUGGGAAACUGCCUGAUGGAGGGGGAUAACUACUGGAAACGGUAGCUAAUACCGCAUACCAUCAGAUGUGCCCAUAGGGGAUUAGCUUGUAGGUGAGGUAACGGCUCACCAAGGCGACGCUCCCUAGCUGGUCUGAGAGGAUGACCGGCCACACUGGAACUGAGACACGGUCCAGACUCCUACGGGAGGCAGCAGUGGGGAAUAUUGCACAAUGGGCGCAAGCCUGAUGCAGCCAUGCCGCGUGUAUGAAGAAGGCCUUCGGGUUGUAAAGUACUUUCAGUCGGGAGGCGUUACCGACAGAAGAAGCACCGGCUAACUCCGUGCCAGCAGCCUCGGUAAUUC